CUACCCGGGUUUCUAAUCCCGUUCGCUCCCCCAGCUUUCGCGCCUCAGCGUCAAGAGUGCCCCAAGAGACCGCCUUCGCCACUGGUGUUCCUACCGAUAUCUACGCAUUUCACCGCUACACCGGUAAUUCCAUCUCUCCCUAGCACCUUCAAGUCUGGCAGUAUCCACCGACCCUCCGGGGUUAAGCCCCGGGCUUUCACAGCGGACUUACCAACCCGCCUACGCGCGCUUUACGCCCAGUAACUUCGGACAACGCUCGCCCCCUCCGUAUUACCGCGGCUGCUGGCAC
rnacentral:rRNA from 1 species